AUGUGUCUCCUAUGUGUUCUAUUUUCCUCUGAAUCUUAUCUCUCGGAUCUUACAGAUGGUUAAUCGUGAACUGAAAUCACCUGCAACAAUUUAUAAUAAAGAGGAUGUUUACAUCAACGAGUUCUUUUGAAAGAUCAUUCGAUAAAUAAAUAAAUUUGACACUUUCGGUCAUUAGGAGAACGCGCUAGGGACCCUAGAUAAAGAGAAGUUUGAUCCCUAUAAAAUAUAACUUUCUAUUGGAUAUGAGACGUGUAAACCUCCUCCUCCAUGCAUAGCAACGUGUAUGCGGAAUCCUCUGGGAUUAGAGAAUUAAGGUGAAAUUUCAUGCGCA